rnacentral:rRNA from 1 species
GAGUUUGAUCAUGGCUCAGAUUGAACGCUGGCGGCAGGCCUAACACAUGCAAGUCGAACGGUAACAGGAAGAAGCUUGCUUCUUUGCUGACGAGUGGUGGACGGGUGAGUAAUGUCUGGGAAACUGCCUGAUGGAGGGGGAUAACUACUGGAAACGGUAGCUAAUACCGCAUAACGUCGCAAGACCAAAGAGGGGGACCUUCGGGCCUCUUGCCAUCGGAUAUGCCCAGAUGGGAUUAGCUAGUAGGUGGGGUAACGGCUCACCUAGGCGACGAUCCCUAGCUGGUCUGAGAGGAUGACCAGCCACACUGGAACUGAGACACGGUCCAGACUCCUACGGGAGGCAGCAGUGGGGAAUAUUGCACAAUGGGCGCAAGCCUGAUGCAGCCAUGCCGCGUGUAUGAAGAAGGCCUUCGGGUUGUAAAGUACUUUCAGCGGGGAGGAAGGGAGUAAAGUUAAUACCUUUGCUCAUUGACGUUACCCGCAGAAGAAGCACCGGCUAACUCCGUGCCAGCAGCCGCGGUAAUACGGAGGGUGCAAGCGUUAAUCGGAAUUACUGGGCGUAAAGCGCACGCAGGCGGUUUGUUAAGUCAGAUGUGAAAUCCCCGGGCUCAACCUGGGAACUGCAUCUGAUACUGGCAAGCUUGAGUCUCGUAGAGGGGGGUAGAAUUCCAGGUGUAGCGGUGAAAUGCGUAGAGAUCUGGAGGAAUACCGGUGGCGAAGGCGGCCCCCUGGACGAAGACUGACGCUCAGGUGCGAAAGCGUGGGGAGCAAACAGGAUUAGAUACCCUGGUAGUCCACGCCGUAAACGAUGUCGACUUGGAGGUUGUGCCCUUGAGGCGUGGCUUCCGGAGCUAACGCGUUAAGUCGACCGCCUGGGGAGUACGGCCGCAAGGUUAAAACUCAAAUGAAUUGACGGGGGCCCGCACAAGCGGUGGAGCAUGUGGUUUAAUUCGAUGCAACGCGAAGAACCUUACCUGGUCUUGACAUCCACGGAAGUUUUCAGAGAUGAGAAUGUGCCUUCGGGAACCGUGAGACAGGUGCUGCAUGGCUGUCGUCAGCUCGUGUUGUGAAAUGUUGGGUUAAGUCCCGCAACGAGCGCAACCCUUAUCCUUUGUUGCCAGCGGUCCGGCCGGGAACUCAAAGGAGACUGCCAGUGAUAAACUGGAGGAAGGUGGGGAUGACGUCAAGUCAUCAUGGCCCUUACGACCAGGGCUACACACGUGCUACAAUGGCGCAUACAAAGAGAAGCGACCUCGCGAGAGCAAGCGGACCUCAUAAAGUGCGUCGUAGUCCGGAUUGGAGUCUGCAACUCGACUCCAUGAAGUCGGAAUCGCUAGUAAUCGUGGAUCAGAAUGCCACGGUGAAUACGUUCCCGGGCCUUGUACACACCGCCCGUCACACCAUGGGAGUGGGUUGCAAAAGAAGUAGGUAGCUUAACCUUCGGGAGGGCGCUUACCACUUUGUGAUUCAUGACUGGGGUGAAGUCGAAACAAGGUA